GACGUAGGGCGCGAGCGUUGUCCGGAUUUAUUGGGCGUAAAGAGCUCGUAGGCGGCUUGUCGCGUCGACUGUGAAAACCCGUGGCUCAACCAUGUGGUCUGCAGUCGAUACGGGCAGGCUAGAAUUCGGUAGGGGAGACUGGAAUUCCUGGUGUAGCGGUGAAAUGCGCAGAUAUCGGAAGGAACGCCCGUGGCGAAAGCGAGGUCCUGGACCCUUUCUGACGCUGAGACGCGAAAGCCAGGGGAGCGAACGGG
rnacentral:rRNA from 1 species